rnacentral:rRNA from 1 species
UAAAUGACUCUCGGCAACAGAUAUCUCAGCUCUCACAUCGAUGAAGAACGUAGCGAAAUGCGAUACUUGGUGUGAAUUGCAGAAUCCCAUGAACCAUCGAGUCUUUGAACGCAAGUUACGCCUGAAGCCAUUAGGUUGAGGGCACGUCUGCCUGGGCGUCUCACG